AGGUCCAGCCUGCCCGGUGACAUAGUUUAACGGCCGCGGUAUCCUGACCGUGCGAAGGUAGCAUAAUCACUUGUUCUUUAAAUGGGGACUAGAAUCAACGGCAUCACGAGGGUCUUACUGUCUCCUUUCCCCAAUCAGUGAAACUGAUCUCCCCGUGAAGAAGCGGGGAUAUAAAUAUAAGACGAGAAGACCCCAUGGAGCUUCAAGCUCAACAAUUACUCUUUCUUAAUAACCAGGCAUCUUCAAAGAUCUAUUUGUUAGCUUUCGGUUGGGGUGACCACGGAGAAAAACUCAACCUCCGUAAUGAAAAGAAUAAAAUCCUAAUCUAAGAGUCACACCUCUAAGAAUCAACAAAUUGGCAUAAAAUGACCCGAUACUUCGAUCAAUGAACCAAGUUACCCUGGGGAUAACAGCGCCAUCCACUUUAAGAGUUCAUAUCGACGAGUGGGUUUACGACCUCGAUGUUGGAUCAGGGUGUCCCAGUGGUGCAGCCGCUACUAAAGGUUC
rnacentral:rRNA from 1 species